rnacentral:lncRNA from 1 species
GCAGCUCGGAGCCGGCGACCCACACGUGGGCCACGGCCUCACGCUGUGCCGCCGCCGGACAGAGAUUCAGUAACUUGCCUUGAGCAAGUCACGACGUAACUUACCUUCUUCAUCCAUUCUUCCAGAGUCUUGUUUAGUUCAAAUUUUUUUUAUAAAAUUAAAAAAAUUCAGAUAUUUUCCGUCACAUCAAAUUUUACAGCACGUGUAUGGAACAUUAAAUAUAGAUAAAAAAUAAUUAAUUACACAGUUUGUCUAUAAUUUGCGAGAUGAAUCUUUUGAGCCUAGUUAAUCUAUGAUCGGAUAAUAUUUAUCAAAUACAAACGAAAAUGCUACACUAUCUAUUUUGUAAAUUUUUUUUUGGAACUAAACAAGGCCCAAAUCAGAUCCAGUGGCUCAAAACAGAUCCAGCCCUUCAACUCAUGAGACUUGGUUGUAUUUUCGGACAUAGAUAGUAGAUAGCAGCAUAAUUCAUAGUUUCAAAAAAAAAGGAAAAAAGUCAAUAAUUUAGGUCCAUAAUUCAGAUGGACAUAUACAUAGCAGUUUAACAAAGCACAAUAAAAUACAAGUCCAAUCGUAGACUAACUAGACUCAAAAGAUUCAGUGGCUCGC